rnacentral:RNase_P_RNA from 1 species
AGGAGACCGUGGACGGCCGACGGUGCCCCGCGUAGGCGCCGAGGAAAGUCCCCUCUCCAUACGAAGGCGGCCCGGCGCAAGCCGGGGUCCCGAGAGGGACGGCAAGGGCGCAGACACGACACAGCCACGGCCGAGGAUGAGGCGCGCGCGCACGAAGGCGCGGACGUUGGCCGCGGAAGCGCGGGGGCCCGGGAGUGGGCCCCUCAUGGUGAGACGGCGACUCCCCGCUGGAGCAAGUCCAAAGCGGCCCGCACCGCGGGCCAAGUCGGACGCUCAGUCCAAUGCCGUCGGAACAGAAAGGGGCUUACGACGGUCACCU